rnacentral:rRNA from 1 species
UACGUAGGGUGCAAGCGUUAAUCGGAAUAACUGGGCAUAAAGGGUGCGCAGGCGGAUUUGCAAGACAGAUGUGAAAGCCCUGGGCUUAACCUGGGAACUGCAUUUGUGACUGCAAGUCUAGAGUAUGGCAGAGGGAGGUGGAAUUCCAUGUGUAGCAGUGAAAUGCAUAGAGAUAUGGAGGAACACCGAUGGCGAAGGCAGCCUCGUGGGCCAAUACUGACGCUCAGGCACGAAAGCGUGGGGAGCAAACAGG